rnacentral:rRNA from 1 species
GACGAACCGUGCGAACGUUGUUCGGAAUCACUGGGCUUAAAGGGCGCGUAGGUGGUCUGUCAAGUCGGGGGUGAAAUCUUUCGGCUCAACCGGAAAACUGCCUUCGAUACUGACAGGCUAGAGGGAGGUAGGGGUUGCGGGAACUACCAGUGGAGCGGUGAAAUGCGUUGAUAUUGGUAGGAACGCCGGUGGCGAAAGCGCGCAACUGGACCUCUUCUGACACUGAGGCGCGAAAGCUAGGGGAGCAAACGGG